AAAUCUAAAACAACUCUCUUUCUCUGAAACAACUUUCUUCGUCUUCCACCUAUGUCUUACUCUUUUUCUUUCUUUUUCUCUUCCACUUAUUCCUUCUUUCUUCUCUUCUUCCAUCUCCAUCUUCUUCUAUUCCUCAGAGUUGUUUUCGGUUAUCAAGGAAUACCAUCAUCAGGGUUUUUUGUCUGGGGUUUGUAGAUUUCAUCAGCAUAUAUAUACGUUUUUGUUGUUUCAAGUUUAAUGGUGGUUGCUCAAGUGAAAAGGGGGAGAUUUGCGGAAGUUAGUAUCAUCUUACAUGUUCACUGGGUACUCUAGCAGAUAAAUAUGAAAAGCUUUAUGGUGAAGUGAAAUGGACGGGGAAACCUCAUGAGGUCCAAGAAUAUACUGGAUAUAAAUUCAUUUGUCUAAUAUAUGGGCCUGAAAGAGAUAAUCAAAAGCGAUUAGAGAAGUUACAAAGAGAUGCAUGUUAACAUAUUAGCUGAUAGCUUUGAUAAAGUGGAUGCAGCAAUUUCCAUCAAUGAACUACUAAUUACCUCUGCAAUGUAACAACAUUUUAUGAUUUAUGCUUGGUUCAGUGAUGUAGUAACACUUUAUUUAUAGAAAAACUAUAUAUACUACUAAGUUUCUCUAAUUAUUGUCUUCUAUGUUGUCUUCAACAUUCACAAUGGAAUCAAACAACUCCUUUUGAUAUAUCAUGCUAGGCCACCAAAAAAUCCUUCAACAAUACUUGCACUGAAUUUGUCAACGGCAACAAGUACUUCACUUUCAUUUUCAGUUUCCUUAAAGAAAACUAACAGGUUUGCCCAAUCAACAAAGUUAUCCCGCUCAAGGAACAUGGCCUCUGAACCUAUCACACGACCCACUGGAAGUUUUUUUUCCAAUUACUAAGGAUAAGCUAAUUAUAAGGGUGCCUUUUUGGUUAAUGAGACCUAUGGUGCUUAUAAGACAUAAACAUAGAACUCUGAGACGGGGAAGUAUGAUUAAUAUGCAACACUGAGAGGAAAAAUAAUACACUGCUUCCACGAUAAAAAGCAGACCCUUCAAUGAUUCAAUGCUUUCAGUUGGGAUUAAAGAUGUUUUUGGUGUCUAACAUGUGUUUGUGUCAUUAUUAACACAUCAUCAAUAUAUGUGGUCAUAUAACAGGUUUUCAGUUUGUUGGUUUUAUUUUCUUAAUUGGUUUUAGAGUUUUUUCUUGGUAAAAAAGAGGAGAAGAGUACUCCAAGACAAUUGUGUUUGUAUCUAUAUAUAGUGUUGGCGUGCUGCUUUCUUAUAAUUUUAUCAUGUUUCCAUGUUUUUCCUUCUUAGGUGCCAUAAUGCAUUGAUAAACUUGCUCAAGCCGGUCUAAUGAUCUGGGUAUUGACAGGGGAUAAAAUGGAAACUGCAAUCAA